rnacentral:tRNA from 1 species
ACUUAAAUAGCUUAUUUAGAGUAUAAUAUUGAAGAUAUUAGGGAGAUUAUUAAAUCUUUAAGUA